UACGGGGGGGGUUAAGCGUUGUUCGGAAUUACUGGGCGUAAAGGGCUCGUAGGCGGCCAACUAAGUCAGACGUGAAAUCCCUCGGCUUAACCGGGGAACUGCAUCUGAUACUGGAUGGCUUGAGUUCGGGAGAGGGAUGCGGAAUUCCAGGUGUAGCGGUGAAAUGCGUAGAUAUCUGGAGGAACACCGGUGGCGAAGGCGGCAUCCUGGACCGACACUGACGCUGAGGAGCGAAAGCCAGGGGAGCAAACGGG
rnacentral:rRNA from 1 species